rnacentral:rRNA from 1 species
CCCAGCUUGUCAUGCUAGAGCACUUUUUCAAUGGACUCCCCAACGGCAAGGCAACGACUCUUUUGUAUGUCAUCCAUAUCAACGUUCGAUGCCAUUUUCUGCGCCUACCAUGGUGACCACGGUAACGGGGAAUCAGGGUUCGAUUCCGGAGUGGGAGCAUGAGAAAUGGCUACCACAUGCAAGGAAAGCAGCAGGCAUGCAAAUGACCCACUCCUGAAGCGGGAAGGUAGUGAUG